rnacentral:rRNA from 1 species
AGAGUUUGAUCCUGGCUCAGGACGAACGCUGGCGGCGUGCUUAACACAUGCAAGUCGAACGAAGCUUGAUUACGGAUUCUUCGGAUGAAGUAUGAUAUGACUGAGUGGCGGACGGGUGAGUAACGCGUGAGUAACCUGCCCUUCAGAGGGGGAUAGCGUUUGGAAACGAACGGUAAUACCGCAUAAUGUAUUUUGACCGCAUGAUCGAAAUACCAAAGAUUUAUCGCUGAAGGAUGGACUCGCGUCUGAUUAGGUAGUUGGUGGGGUAACGGCCUACCAAGCCGACGAUCAGUAGCCGGACUGAGAGGUUGAUCGGCCACAUUGGGACUGAGACACGGCCCAGACUCCUACGGGAGGCAGCAGUGGGGAAUAUUGCACAAUGGGCGCAAGCCUGAUGCAGCAACGCCGCGUGAAGGAAGACGGUUUUCGGAUUGUAAACUUCUGUUCUUAGUGAAGAAUAAUGACGGUAGCUAAGGAGCAAGCCACGGCUAACUACGUGCCAGCAGCCGCGGUAAUACGUAGGUGGCAAGCGUUGUCCGGAAUUACUGGGUGUAAAGGGAGCGCAGGCGGGUGAUCAAGUCAGCUGUGAAAACUACGGGCUUAACCCGUAGACUGCAGUUGAAACUGUUCAUCUUGAGUGAAGUAGAGGUUGGCGGAAUUCCGAGUGUAGCGGUGAAAUGCGUAGAUAUUCGGAGGAACACCGGUGGCGAAGGCGGCCAACUGGGCUUUAACUGACGCUGAGGCUCGAAAGUGUGGGGAGCAAACAGGAUUAGAUACCCUGGUAGUCCACACUGUAAACGAUGAUAGCUAGGUGUGGGGGGUCUGACCCCUUCCGUGCCGGAGUUAACGCAAUAAGCAAUCCACCUGGGGAGUACGACCGCAAGGUUGAAACUCAAAGGAAUUGACGGGGGCCCGCAC